ACACAUGCAGUCGAACGAACUCUUCGGAGUUAGUGGCGGACGGGUGAGUAACACGUGGGAACGUGCCUUUAGGUUCGGAAUAACUCAGGGAAACUUGUGCUAAUACCGAAUGUGCCCUUCGGGGGAAAGAUUUAUCGCCUUUAGAGCGGCCCGCGUCUGAUUAGCUAGUUGGUGAGGUAAAGGCUCACCAAGGCGACGAUCAGUAGCUGGUCUGAGAGGAUGAUCAGCCACAUUGGGACUGAGACACGGCCCAAACUCCUACGGGAGGCAGCAGUGGGGAAUCUUGCGCAAUGGGCGAAAGCCUGACGCAGCCAUGCCGCGUGAAUGAUGAAGGUCUUAGGAUUGUAAAAUUCUUUCACCGGGGACGAUAAUGACGGUACCCGGAGAAGAAGCCCCGGCUAACUUCGUGCCAGCAGCCGCGGUAAUACGAAGGGGGCUAGCGUUGCUCGGAAUUACUGGGCGUAAAGGGAGCGUAGGCGGACAUUUAAGUCAGGGGUGAAAUCCCGGGGCUCAACCUCGGAAUUGCCUUUGAUACUGGGUGUCUUGAGUAUGAGAGAGGUGUGUGGAACUCCGAGUGUAGAGGUGAAAUUCGUAGAUAUUCGGAAGAACACCAGUGGCGAAGGCGACACACUGGCUCAUUACUGACGCUGAGGCUCGAAAGCGUGGGGAGCAAACAGGAUUAGAUACCCUGGUAGUCCACGCCG
rnacentral:rRNA from 1 species